GGAUAGACUCCUCCCCUAGUUAGAUUAAAUUUAAUGUGGAUGCUGGUUUUGAUCUCAUCACCAGAUAUACUGAGCUUGGCUUCAUUGUUAGAGAUCAUUUGGGUGAAGUUAUUUUCUUUGGUUGGUCCAGUGAUCGGCUCUGCAAAUCUGCUGAACUUUGAUAGGAAUCUACUGUGCUCUUUUUGUCUUCCAAGGUCAUGUGUGGUUGGA
rnacentral:lncRNA from 1 species